rfam:Oryctolagus cuniculus chromosome 13, whole genome shotgun sequence.
CCAAAGGCUCUUUUCAGAGCCAUUAAAAAAAAAAAAAAAAAGCAUG